rnacentral:rRNA from 1 species
ACACGACUACAUUAGAUACCCGUGUAGUCCCAGCCGUAAACUAUGCUCGCUAGGUGUCGGGACGGUGCGACCGUUUCUGGUGCCGCAGGGAAGCCGUGAAGCGAGCCACCUGGGAAGUACGGUCGCAAGGCUGAAACUUAAAGGAAUUGGCGGGGAGCACAACAACGGGUGGAGCUUGCGGUUUAAUUGGAUUCAACGCCGGAAAUCUUACCGGGACCGACAGCAACAUGAAGGCCAAGCUGAAGACUUUGCCGGAUUAGCUG